rnacentral:rRNA from 1 species
GAUGAACGCUGGCGGCGUGCCUAAUACAUGCAAGUCGAGCGAACGGACGAGAAGCUUGCUUCUCUGAUGUUAGCGGCGGACGGGUGAGUAACACGUGGAUAACCUACCUAUAAGACUGGGAUAACUUCGGGAAACCGUAGCUAAUACCGGAUAAUAUUUUGAACCGCAUGGUUCAAAAGUGAAAGACGGUCUUGCUGUCACUUAUAGAUGGAUCCGCGCUGCAUUAGCUAGUUGGUAAGGUAACGGCUUACCAAGGCAACGAUGCAUAGCCGACCUGAGAGGGUGAUCGGCCACACUGGAAAUGAGACACGGUCCAGACUCCUAAGGGAGGCAGCAGUAGGGAAUCUUCCGCAAUGGGCGAAAGCCUGACGGAGCAAAGCCGCGGGAGUGAUGAAGGUCUUCGGAUCGUAAAACUCUGUUAAUAGGGAAGAACAUAUGUGUAAGGAACUGUGCACAUCUUGACGGUACCUAAUCAGAAAGCCACGGCUAACUACGUG